GAUGAAGAACGCAGCGAAAUGCGAUAAGUAAUGUGAAUUGCAGAAUUCAGUGAAUCAUCGAAUCUUUGAACGCACAUUGCGCCAGCCAGUAGUCUGGCGGGCAUGCCUGUCUGAGCGUCAUUUCAACCCUCAUGCCCCUAGGGCGUGGUGUUGGGGAUCGGCCAAAGCCCGCGAGGGACGGCCGGCCCCUAAAUCUAGUGGCGGACCCGUCGUGGCCUCCUCUGCGAAGUAGUGAUAUUCCGCAUCGGAGAGCGACGAGCCCCUGCCGUUAAACCCCCAACUUUCCAAGGUUGACCUCAGAUCAGGUAGGAAUACCCGCUGAACUUAAGCAUAUCAAUAAGCGGAGGA
rnacentral:misc_RNA from 1 species